GCGCGGUCGAGGGGCGCGCCACCGCCGGUGGGUGGACGCCGAGCUGGUGGGAGCCCAGGCCAAGGGUGGAGGCCAAGCCCAGAAGGGGGCGGGGAGGCCUCAAAGUGGGAAAGUGGCCCCGUCCCUUCCCGGCAGGAAUCCGGGGCUCCUCCUCCGCCCGCUGCGCAGCCAUCAAUCACCGCGACAGCCCAAGUGCCCCCUGCCCGGACACAACAACCCUCCUGCUUUUCCACCCGGGGGAGGAAAUCUCCGGUCGGAGCAUCUGCCCUGCACACUGGCUGGACUCACCAGUGGGGUCCGCGCUGGGGAUCAAAGCUGUGCGACACCGGGUCUGACCCGCGCGCUCAGGCGCAGGGAGCACUUGACACCCCACAGGCAGCCCUGCAGAUAGUAGCAGAGGAGACUUGGAUUUCAUUGGUGUUGGUUUUCGUGAUUCCUGCCUUCUAAAAUCCCAAGACUUAUUUAUCAUUUAUCAUCAGCUCAGAUCCCAGGAAAACAGUCCACUGCACUUCGGUUUCUGCUCCAAGUCACCCAUUAAAUAAAUAAUUGAACACCUGCUGGUGCCAGGCGCAGUUCUAAUGCUUGGGAUAUGUCGGUGAACAAAGCAAAGGUCUCCCUCACCUGGGGGAGCUGAAGGCCUGCGGGGAAGAAGUGGGAGACAGAGGGUAAACCAUGGCCAUCCCUAAGUAAAUUAUUUGGGGUGUUGGAAGAGGUCGGUGAUAGGGAAAACAAGAAAAAGAAUAUGGGGGCCCAGAGUGCUUGUGUCUGGAGCAGGUCACAGAAUUAAAUAGAUGGUGUGUGUCAGGCCUCUGAGCCCAAGCCAAGCCAUCGCAUCCCCUGUGACUUGCACGUAUACAUCCAGAUGGUCUGAAGUAACUGAAGAUCCACAAAAGAAGUAAACAUAGCCUUAACUGAUGACAUUCCACCAUUGUGAUUUGUUCCCGCCCCACCCUAACUAAUCAAUGUACUUUGUAAUCUCCCCCACCCUUAAGAAGGUUCUUUGUAAUUCUCCCCACCCUUGAGAAUGUACUUUGUGAGAUCCACCCCUGCCCACAAAACAUUGCUCUUAACUUCACCGCCUAUCUCAAAACCUAUAAGAACUAAUAAUAAUCCACCACUCUUUGCUGACUCUCUGUUUGGACUCAGCCCACCUGCACCCAGGUGAAAUAAACAGCCAUGUUGCUCACACAAAGCCUGUUUGGUGGUCUCUUCACACGGACGCGCAUGAAAUUUGGUGUCGUGACUCAGAUUGGGGGACCUCCCUUGGGAGAUCAAUCCCCUGUCCUCCUGCUCUUUGCUCUGUGAGAAAGAUCCACCUACGACCUCAGGACCGACCAGCCCAAGAAACAUCUCACCAAUUUCAAAUCCAGUAAGCGGCCUCUUUUUACUCUCUUCUCCAACUUGCCUCACUAUCCCUCAACCUCUUUCUCCUUUCAAUCUUGGCGCUACACUUCAAUCUCUCCCUUCUCUUAAUUUCAAUUCCUUUCAUUUUCUGGUAGAGACAAAAGAGACACGUUUUAUCCGUGGACCCAAAACUCCGGCGCCGGUCACGGACUGGGAAGGCAGCCUUCCCUUGGUGUUUAAUCAUUGCAGGGAUGCCUCUGUGAUUAUACACCCACGUUUCAAGGGUGUCAGACCACGCAGGGACGCCUGCCUUGGUCCUUCACCCUUAGCGGCAAGUCCUGCUUUUCUGGGGAAGGGGCAAGUACCCCAACCCCUUCUCUCCUUGUCUCUACCCCUUCUCUGCCUUUCCUGGGGCAGGGGCAAGUACCCCUCAACCCCUUCUCCUUCACCCUUAGCGGCAAGUCCCGCUUUCCUAGGGGCAAGAACCUCCCAAUCGCUUAUUUCCGCACCCCAACCUCUUAUCUCUGUGCCCCAAUCCCUUAUUUCCGUGCCCCAACCCUUUCUCUGCUUUUCUGGAGGGCAAGAACUCCCCACCCCUUCUCCAUGUCUCUACUCUUUUCUCUGGGCUUGCCUCCUUCACUAUGGGUAGGCUUCCACCUUCCAUUCCUCCUUGUUCUCCCUUAGCCUGUGUUCUCAAAAACUUAAAACCUCUUCAACUCACACCUGACCUAAAACCUAAAUGCCUUAUUUUCUUCUGCAAUGCCGCUUGACCCCAAUACAAACUCGACAGUAGUUCCAAAUAGCUGGAAAACGGCGCUUUCAAUUUUUCCAUCCUACAAGAUCUAAAUAAUUCUUGUCGUAAAAUGGGCAAAUGGUCUGAGGUGCCUGACGUCCAGGCAUUCUUUUACACAUCAGUCCCUUCCUAGUCUCUGUGCCCCGUGCAACUCGUCCCAAAUCUUCCUUCUUUCCCUCCCUCCUGUCCCCUCAGUCCCAACCCCAAGCGGCGCUGAGUCUUUCUAAUCUUCCUCUUCUACAGACCCAUCUGACCUCUCCCCUCCGCGCCAGCCCAAGCUAGGUCCCAAUUCUUCCUCAGCCUCCGCGCCUCCCCUCCCUUCAUCCCACACCUGGUCCGACUUAUAGUUUCAUUCUGUGACUAGCCCUCCCCCACCUGCCCAGCAGUUUACUCUUAAAAAGGUGGCUGGAGCCAAAGGCAUAGUCAGGGUUAAUGCUCCUUUUUCAUUAUCCCAAAUCACAUAGCGUUUAGGCUCUUUUUCAUCAAAUAUAAAAACCCAGCCCAGUUCAUGGCUCGUUCGGCAGCAACCCUGAGACGCUUUACAGCCCUAGACCCUAAAAGGUCAAAAGGCCAUCUUAUUCUCAAUAUACAUUUUAUUACCCGAUCUGCUCCCGACAUUAAAUAAAACUCCAAAAAUUAAAUUCCGGCCCUCAAACCCCACAACAGGAUUUAAUUAACCUCGCCUUCAAGGUGUACAAUAAUAGAAAAAAGUUGCAAUUCCUUGGCUCCACUGUGAGACAAACCCCAGCCACAUCUCCAGCAUACAAGAACUUCCAAAUGCCUGAACCGCAGCGGCCAGGCGUUCUUCUAGAACCUCCUCCCCCAGGAGCUUGCUACAAGUGCCAGAAAUCUGACCACCAGGGCAAGGAAUGCCUGCAGCCCAGGAUUCCUCCUAAGCCGUGUCCCAUCUGUGCGGGACCCCACUGGAAAUUAGACUGUUCAACUCACCUGGCAGCCACUCCCCGAGCCCCUGGAACUCUGGCCCGAGGCUCUCUGACUGACUCCUUCUCGGCUUAGCGGCUGAAGACUGAUGCUGCCCGAUCGCCUCGGAAGCCCCGUAGGCCAUCACGGACGCCGAGCUUUGGGUAACUCUCAGAGUGGAAGGUAAGUCCGUCCCCUUCUUAAUCAAUAUGGAGGCUACCCACUCCACAUUACCUUCUUUUCAAGGGCCUGUUUCCCUUGCCUCCAUAACUGUUGUGGGUAUUGACAGCCAGGCUUCUAAACCUCUUAAAACUCCCCAACUCUGGUGCCAACUUAGACAACACUCUUUUAAGCACUCUUUUUUAGUUAUCUCCACCUGCCCACUUCCCUUAUUAGGCCGAGAUAUUUUAACCAAAUUAUCUGCUUCCCUGACUAUUCCUGGACUACAGCCGCAUCUCAUUGCUGCCCUUCUUCCCAAUCCAAAGCCUCCUUUGCGUCCUCCUCUUGUAUUCCCCCACCUUAACCCACAAGUAUAAGAGACCUCUACUCCCUCCUUGGUGACUGAUCACGCACCCCUUACCAUCUCAUUAAAACUGAAUCACCCUUACCCCGCUCAACGCCAAUAUCCUAUCCCACAGCAUGCUUUAAAAGGAUUAAAGCCUGUUAUCACUCGCCUGCUACAGCAUGGGCACCUAUAAACUCUCCUUACCAUUCCCCCAUUUCACCUGUCCUAAAACCAGGCAAGGCUUACAAGUUAGUUCAGAAUCUGCACCUUAUCAACCAAAUUGUUUUGCCUAUCCACCCUGUGGUGCCAAACCCAUAUACUCUCCUAUCCUCAAUACCUCCCUCUACUACCCAUUAUUCUGUUCUGGAUCUCAAACAUGCUUUCUUUACUAUUCCUUUGCACCCUUCAUCCCAGCCUCUCUUUGCCUUCACUUAGACUGACCCUGACACCCAUUAGGCUCAGUAAAUUACCUGGGCUGUACUGCCGCAAGGCUUCGCGGACAGCCCCCAUUACUUCAGUCAAGCCCAAAUUUCAUCCUCAUCUGUUACCUAUCUCGGCAUAAUUCUCAUAGAAACACAUGUGCUCUUCCUGCUGAUCAUGUCCGAUUAAUCUCCCAAACCUCAAUCCCUUACAAAAGAACAACUCCUUUCCUUCCUAGGCAUGGUUAGUGCGGUCAGAAUUCUUACACAAGAGCCAGGACCACACCGUGUAGCCUUUCUGUCCAAACAACUUGACCUUACUGUUUUAGCCUAGCCCUCAUGUCUGCGUGCAGCGGCUGCCGCUGCUUUAAUACCGUUAGAGGCCCUAAAAAUCACAAACUAUGCUCAACUCACUCUCUACAUUUCUCAUAACUUCCAAAAUCUAUUUUCUUCCUCAUACCUGACACAUAUACUUUCUGCUCCCCGGCUCCUUCAGCUGUACUCACUCUUUAAGUCCCACAAUUACCAUUGUUCCUGGCCCGGACUUCAAUCUGGCCUCCCACAUUAUUCCUGAUACCACACCUGACCCCCAUGACUGUAUCUCUCUGAUCCACCUGAUAUUCACCCCAUUUCCCCAUAUUUCCUUCUUUGCUGUUCCUCACCCUGAUCACGCUUGCCUCGUGCUAUCCCCAAACUGCCAUUCUUAACUCUUGAAGUAAAUAAUCUUUGCUGGCAGGGCUAUGCUGAAUCUCCUUAGGCACUCUCUAAUCAGAUGUCCUGAGUCGUCCCAAUUCUUAGACCUUUUAUACCUGUUUUUCUCCUUCUCUUAUUCCAUUUAGUUUUUCAAUUCAUACAAAACCAUAUCCAGGCCAUCACCAAUAAUUCUACACAACAAAUGUUUCUUCUAACAACCCCACAAUAUCACCCCUUACCACAAAAUCUUCCUUCAGCUUAAUCUCUCCCACUCUAGGUUCCCACGCCACCCCUAAUCCCGCUCGAAGCAGCCCUGAGAAACAUCGCCCAUUCUCUCUCCACACCAACCCCCACAAAUUUUCACCGCCCCAAGACUUCAACACUAUUUUGUUUUAUUUUUCUUAUUAAUAUAAGAAGGCAGGAAUGUCAGGCCUCUGAGCCCAAGCCAAGCCAUCGCAUCCCCUGUGACUUGCACGUAUACAUCCACGUGGCCUGAAGUAACUGAAGAUCCACAAAAGAAGUAAACAUAGCCUUAACUGAUGACAUUCCACCAUUGUGAUUUGUUCCCGCCCCACCCUAACUAAUCAAUGUACUUUGUAAUCUCCCCCACCCUUAAGAAGGUUCUUUGUAAUUCUCCCCACCCUUGAGAAUGUACUUUGUGAGAUCCACCCCGCCCACAAAACAUUGCUCUUAACUUCACUGCCUAACCCAAAACCUAUAAGAACUAAUAAUAAUCCACCACUCUUUGCUGACUCUCUUUUUGGACUCAGCCCACCUGCACCCAGGUGAAAUAAACAGCCAUGUUGCUCACACAAAGCCUGUUUGGUGGUCUCUUCACACAGACGCGCAUGAAAGUGUGGUCAGAGUAGUCCUCAGGGAAGGUGGGAUUUGAGCCGUAAGGGUUUGAGCAGAGGAUAACCUGAUCUGUUAUUGCUGAGAGCUCAGUCUAAUGCUGUUUGGAGAGCCCACUGUCCGGGCAGAGGUGGAAAUAAGCGAGGAGGCGAUUGAAAUAGUUCAGGCUAGAGAUGGUGGCUGGUAGCAGGCUCAGAGCAGGGGUGGUGGAGAGAGGUAGUUGGAUUCUUAAUUAUUUUGAAGGUUGAGCUGACAGCAAUUCCUAAGAGGUUGGAUACAUGGGCAAAAGGGAGAAGUGGACAGACAGGUAGACCUGGCCCCAUGUCCCUCUCUCUUCUCUUCCUUUUUCAGCUGCAGAGGGACCCGGUUUUAUAGAUAAAGGGUGCCAGAGACUAAGAAACUGAGACAUCUUCACUGUGACAUUCUCACACAAGAAGAGAUGUUUGGCCGCCGUUGAAGGAACACUGAGAUUCAUUUUGAUCUUUCUUUGCUUCAAGUGUCCCCGUAUUGAAACCUGCCUUAUUUAUGAAAGUCAAGAAGGGAAAAUAAAACAUUUUUAUGUUAACACAUUUCUUACACCCAUCAGUGUUCCCAUUAAUGUUCCAGUCACUGGGAAAAGAAUAGUGCCUGGGCCAGGCAGGCCCGUGAAAAUCAUGCAAAUAGUUACAGGUGAGGAAUUUCAUCUUUGGUUGGAUUUGACUCUCCAUGUGAAGAGUACCUGUGGAUAUAAGGGACACAUUAAGGGUUGCUCCUGAGAUUUUGAACUCUCUAUGCUAGAUGCAUACAUUAAGAAAAUACAUUUUUGUUGGGCGUGGUGGCUCACGCCUGUAAUCCCAGCACUUUGGGAGGUGGAGGUGGGUGGAUCAUGAGGUCAGGAGUGUCGCUUGAACCUGGGAGGCAGAGGUUGCAGUGAGCCGAGACUGUGCCACUGCACUCCAGCCUGAGCAAGAAAGUGAGAGACUCCGUCUGAAAAAAAAAAAAAAAAGGAAAAAAGUACAUUUUAUAAAGAUUUAAAAGCAGAGUUUCCUGGUUUCUGCCUUAUGCUCAUGUAACUGCAUUCAGAAAAAUGGACAGGGAGGAUAGAAAGACCUGUUUAGAAGCAACAUCAAUUACAGCAAAGAUAGUGUAGGCCUUUCAGCUGAACUGGCAUUUGGUCUGCAAUAAUGACAUGGUCCAGAUGUUGGAUCCAUGUCACUGUGAGUAUCUGAGCUGUCAUAGGUCCAUGUACACCUGCAUGCUUCCGAAGUGUCUUCUAUUUUGUUAGUAAUCACUCAUAGUCUUUUCUUGGCAGUUGGCCACAGAGAUUCCUUUUGCUGGGUUGAAAAAUAUACUGAGGACCAGGCCUAUUUGACAUUGUGCCUGUGUAUAACCCACACUUAUCAAUUUAAAAAUCAGGCCUAUAAACAGGCAUAUGAAAAACUGCUCAACAUCGCUGACCAUCAGGGAAUGCAAAUCAAAACAACGAGAUGUCAUCUCAACUCCAUUUAAAAUGGCUUUUAUGCAAAAGACAGGCGAUAACAAAUGCUGGUGAUGAUGUGGAGAAAAGAGAACCUUCAUACACUGUUGAUGGGAAUGUAAAUUAGUGUUAAUACAACCGCUAUGGAGAACAGUUUGGAGGUUCCUCAAAAACUAAAAAUAAAGCUACCAGCUAUCCUACUGCUAGGUCAAUACCAAAAAAAAAAAAAGGAAAUCAGGAUAUGGACAUUAUCUGCACUCCCAUGUUUGUUGCAGUUCUGUUCACAACAGCCAGGAUUCGGAAGCAACCUAAGUGUCCAACAUCCGAUGAAUGGAAAAAGAAAAUGUGGUACAUAGGCCGGGUGCGGUGGCUCAUGCCUAUAAUCCCAGCACUUUGGGAAGCCAAGGUGGUGGAUCACGAGGUCAGGAAUUCAAGACCAGCCUGGCCAAAAUGGUGAAACCCUGCCUCUACUAAAAAUACAAAAAUUAGCCAGGAGUGGUGGUGGGUGCCUGUAAUCCCAGCUACUUGGGAGGCUGAGGCAGAGAAUUGCUUGAACCUGGAAGGCAGAGGUUGCAGUGAGCCGAGAUCGCGCCACUGCACUCCAGCCUGGGUGACAGAGUGGGACUCCAUCUCAAAAAAAGAAAGAAAAGAAAAGAAAAUGUGGUACAUAUACAUCAUGGAGUACUGUUCAGCCGCAAAAAAGAAUGAGAUCUUGUCAUUUGCAACAACAUGGAUGAAGCUGGAGGUCAUUAUGUUAAGUGAAAUAUACCAGGCACACAAAGACUAACUUUACAUAUUCUCACUUAAUUGUGCCAAAAAUUAAAACGAUUGAACUCAUGGAGAUGGAGAGUAGAAGGACUGUUUGUUACCAGAGGCUGGGAAGGGUAGUGUGGAGGUUGGGAAGGGAAGUGGGGAUGAUUAUUGGGCACAAAAAAAUAGAAAGAAUGAAAAAGACCUAGUAAUUGCUAGUAUAACAGGGUGACUAUAAUCAAUAAUAAUUUAAUUGUACAUUUUAAGUAACUAAGAGUAUAACUGAAUUAUUUGUAACACAAAGUGUAAAUGCAUGAGGUGGUAGAUACUCCAUUUACCCUCAUGAGAUUAUCACACAUUGUAGGCCUGUAUCAGAUAUCUCAGGUACCUUAUAAAUAUAUACCUCUACUAUGUGCCCAUAAAAAUAAAAAAAAUAAAAAAAUAGAAAUAAAGUAAAAACAAAACCUAAGACAUGUCAAAGGACCCCUGGUCAAGGGUGACUUCCAUGCCUGAUAUGUGUGGCCAGGUUUUCCAGUUGCAGACAUCACUGCUGUUUAUCCCUGGUCAGGCCAGGCCGUCUCAGGCAUGGUUCAUAGUUUACAUUGAAAAAAAUGCACUGAGGUCUUCUGCGAGGCUGCUAGCAUGAUACUUUACUAAUGUAUUGUGCAGAUUUUACCAUUUGUGACUCUGAUUUUCACUGGGGGAAAAUUCCUCACAUUUAGUAAGCAUUCAAGAAAACACUGUUGCUUUUUUCUCCCCCAUGGCUGACAUUGUCUAAAUAGAAAGCAUGGUGGAUAGGUAGCUAUUUUCCAAAUCUCAAGCCCUGCAACUGUUAUUAACAAAUAUUUAUAACAUUAAGCAUAUUUUGCCUUGUUAUUGUCCCUCAUUUUGUCAUUGUACUACAUGAAAUAGUAAAUUUUAAGUGUAAGCAAAGAAAAAAAUAACUCAGCUUCUGGUGAGCAUAAGACACACAGAGCGCUGUAGGAAAACAGGUGACCUGUGACCAACAGGGACAGCAGCAUUUUCUCUGCUCUAUGUAUUAUACACAUUCGAAAUACUUUUUGUCUGUCCCUAAAGUGACUUACAUGUGCAAAGGAAGUGAACCGAGAGGUUCUUGACCUUGCACGUGUGUCAGCAUGGCUUGUGGCGCUCAUUGAGGAUGCCUGGCUUCCUGUCCACACCACCAGUUCUGCUGGAACGUUCUGAUGCCCAGUGCCAGCCCAACUCCAGCCAUUUCUGCCUCUUGGAAAGCUUCCUGUCCCCAAGAUGACCAGUUCUUGGAGAUUUUUUUUUUUCCAGAGGGCCAGAACUCACACCCUGUAUGAUGUUGGAAAGGAUACACGUAGCCAUUGCCAGGCAACAAGCACCCACCCUACAUCUCCUUUAAAAUAAAUGCAUGUCGGGUCUCUGGAACCCAACAAUGCCUCCUGAGAAGGACAAGGGGAUGGGACUUUACAAACAUGUUUACAUCAUCUUACAGAUGAUGUCCAAAAUUAUAGACAUUACAAAACCCCAACUACAAUAAAAAAUACAAAAAAAAAUACAAAAAUUAGCCAGGCAAAAAAAAAUACAAAAAUUAGCCGGGCCUGGUGGCUUGCACCUGUAGUCAGACAGAAUUUCAGUUACAGAGCAAAUGACCAGAAUAACUUGUGAAGUAUUUUAUAUCAAAACUCAUGCCAGUCUUGCUGUAUUUACAUAACAUAUAUAAUUAUUAUUUUUGAUUUCUGGAGGGAAAUCAUCUUCUCUCUUCUAAGUUAAUACAUUGUCCGAGCUGGUAGGGACCUCGGUGACCAUGUGCCCCAAUGAAUUCUUCCAGGAGGACGAGAGGAUGGGCCAGAACUCCUGCCCUUGAACCCAGAGCCUGCUGGCCCCCUGAUUACGGCUUUCACGAGAAGCAGGAUCAUAUCAUGGCCACCGCGUCUUUAUCCAGAGUUUGAAAGUUGGGUUAGAAAUAUUCCCUGUUUUCAUUUCAUGCAUCACAGAACCUGGGUAAGCCAUGACCCCAGCUCUCCCCAUUUUGGGGUCUCUUGAUGGUGGGAGUCGGCUUCACAGCUCAGCUGAUGAUGAGAACCCUUGAGGAUCCUACAUCUGGCCACUGCCAGGCCAGCAAAAGUGAGAGAAGUCACAUCAGACUGCCUGAGACCUGUGAAAAGGGGCCACGUGGGAACUCUCAGGAUGGUGACGGAGGUGAAGCAAGUGAGAAAUGAGCAAGCAAGCAGGAUUUGGGACCUCCUGGCUUCCCACACCACUGAGUCACAGAGGAAACUCUCAGAAGAUACAGCGAAGCCAGCAUGGUUCCCCUGAUGAGGGCCAGGGAAGAGCUUGCCACUGACAUUCAAAGGCUGUCUGGUCCCAGAAUUCAUACAUAUAAAUUGUGAAACUUUCGGCCAGGCACAGUGGCUCACGCCUGUAAUCCCAGCACUUUGGGAGGCUGAGGCGGGCGGAUGACCUGAGGUCCCGAGUUAAAGACCAGCCUGACCAACAUGGAGAAACCCUGUCACUACUAGAAAUACAAAAUUAGCCGGGUGUGGUGGUGCAUGCCUGUAGUCCCAGCUACUCAGGAGGCUAAGGCAGGAGAAUCGCUUGAACCCGGGAGGCAGAGGUUGCCAUCAGCCGAGAUCGAACCAUUGCACCCCAGCCUGAGCAACAAGAGCAAAACUCCAUCUCAAAAAAAAAAAAAUUGUGAAACUUUCUGUGCAGCCAGUCAACCCAUGUUAAAAUGUUAAAAGGACUGUAUUAGUCCAUUUUUACACUGCUGAUAAAGACAUACCUGAGACUGGGUAAUUUAUAAAGGAAAAGAGGUAUAAUGGACUCACAGUUCCACAUGGCUGGGGAGGCCUCACAAUCAUGGCAGAAGGUGAAACGCAUGUCUUAACACGGCGGCAAGUAAAGAGAGAAUCAGAGUCAAGCGAAAGGGGUUUCCCCUUAUAAAACCAUCAGAUCUCGUGAGACUUAAUAAUUCCAUGAGAACAGUAUGGGGGAAACCACCCCCAUGAUUCAAUUAUCUCCCACCGGGUUCCUCCCACAACACUUGGGAUUUACUGGAGCUACAAGUCAAGAUGAGAUUUGGGUGGGGACACAGCCAAAACAUAUCAGGGACAUAAUUCCUAAUGAAACAAAUAAUAAAGUUGAAAAUUUGGAAUUGUAUUAGAUUCCCUUUGAGAGCAACAUGAGUGACUCUGUUAGCAUGCGCAUCCAAGGCACAGUAAGUACCAACACCUCCGAAUAAUUGAUCUGCCUUAUGUAUGACAGACUUGCCUCAUUUAUAACAGAUGAGUGAAUUUCUUGGCAUGGAUCUCUUCUGUUUUUUCAAACUUCUUGGUUUCCUCCUAAGAAGUGCCAACAGUUAACAUUUAGGUGACAGAUUAGAUUCUGCCUAGAAGUGUAAGGAGGCUGCCUCCAUCACAGAGGGUUUUAUUUAUUUAUUUAUUUUUUGAGACAAGGUCUCCCUUUUGUCACCCAGACUGGAGUGCAGUAGUGUGAUCUCGGCUCACUGCAAUUUCUGCCUCCUGGGCUCGAGUGAUCCUCCCACCUCAGCC
rnacentral:lncRNA from 10 species